AAGAUUUCUGACUCGUGCCACGAAUCAUCCACUGUGUCCGCGAUCGCAUCCAUUGUCGAGACUCCGGCUCGUCGGAUCGAGGAAAUUCCUCCGGUCCAGCAAGCAGAGCGUUACGGUAAUGUCUCGUGCAGAAGCUGGCGUGAGCGUUUGGUGCAAAAUAGAUCAUGCCGGACAUACCCUCGUUCAACUCUGAAGAGAGCCUAGGACGAUUGCUCUGGCUUCUCCUCAGUGUGAAGAACGGUUUCAUCGUGAAUUUCUCUAAGCUUCCUGCUUACACAGGCACCCGUGUUGACAAUCCUGGGCAUGUAUUUGAUCACUAUUACGAUGCCGGAUUUGGAAGUUUUCAAUGCUGCAGCCAUUGACACCUACCCACCAAUGCCAAUGUCAGUGACUGCUCAGUGUCUGACUGUGCGAGGAGCUCAAGCCCCAUUUGUUGAGAAGUGUAUGAUGGUGGGAUGAUCUUCGAUAUUAGUCAUAGAAUCACUAGUGACAUGCUAUCACGGGGAUCAGAAGAUGGGUUGGGUUAGUUUCUGAGGCUUGCGGCGAGUAUGCAGAAUGGGUCUUUAGCGAGUAACUCAGAGAUGAAGUUGCCCACUUACAUGGGGAAUUAUGUGGAUGCUCCUGGUCACAUCUUUGAUCAUUACUUCGAUGCUGGUUUUGAUGUGA